AAAUCAACAUUCAAUUUAGCAAUUUUAUGAAUUCAAAUACAUUUUCAAAUUACCCAAAACAAAAAGACACACAAUUACCCACUAAAUCCAUCCCUUCAAAUCCCCAUUCUUGUUUCAAACAAUGUUAACCUUCGCUCCAGCCUCUUCCAGUUGCUUCUUAGCGUCCUCCGCCUCUUCCUUCGAAACACUCUCUUUAAACUUCUUAGGCAAACCCUCAAUCAGUUCCUUAGCUUCUUUCAAAGCCAAGCUCGUCAAUGCCCUAACCGCUUUAAUCACCGCUAUUCUGGAAUUAGCCGGCACUUCCUGAAUCACAACAUCGAACUCCGUUUUCUCCUCCACUGCUGCUGGUCCAGCAUCUCCACCAGCUCCGGGGGUAGCAACGACGGCUGCUGCGGGGGCAAAGGCAGCAGCAGACACUCCUAGCUUAUCCUGGAGGUAGUCAACGAGGCUGCGGGCUUCCUCAAGAGUCAAGGAGGAGAUUUCAGUACCCAAUUUUUCAAUUUUCUCAGGAGUAGAAACGGCAGAGAUGGGACGGAGGUGUGUAGAGCGAUGGGUGAGGGCGGAGAAGUUGGUCCGGGGAGGGAAUUCGACGAGGAAUUGCUUGGUGGCUGAAUGUGUAAAGCAAGUGGAAGGAGAAGAGAGAGUGAGUGUUCUUGUAGAGGAGAGAGAUGUCGCCAUUUUUUCUCUGUAAAGAGAUGUGACUGAAGAGCGAGCUGAAG
rnacentral:misc_RNA from 1 species